AAGGGACCUAGCGUAGUUCGGAAUUACUGGGCUUAAAGAGUUCGUAGGUGGUUGAAAAAGUUGGUGGUGAAAUCCCAGAGCUUAACUCUGGAACUGCCAUCGAAACUUUUCAGCUAGAGUAUGAUAGAGGAAAGCAGAAUUUCUAGUGUAGAGGUGAAAUUCGUAGAUAUUAGAAAGAAUACCAAUUGCGAAGGCAGCUUUCUGGAUCAUUACUGACACUGAGGAACGAAAGCAUGGGUAGCGAAGAGGAUUAGAUACCCUCGUAGUCCAUGCCGUAAACGAUGUGUGUUAGACGUUGGAAAUUUAUUUUCAGUGUCGCAGGGAAACCGAUAAACACACCGCCUGGGGAGUACGACCGCAAGGUUAAAACUCAAAUGAAUUGACGGGGACCCGCACAAGUAGUGGAGCAUGUGGUUUAAUUCGAAGAUACGCGCAGAACCUUACCAACACUUGACAUGUUCGUCGCGACUCUAAGAGAUUAGAGUUUUCGGUUCGGCCGGACGAAACACAGGUGCUGCAUGGCUGUCGUCAGCUCGUGUCGUGAGAUGUUGGGUUAAGUCCCGCAACGAGCGCAACCCUCACCUUUAGUUGCCAUCAUUAAGUUGGGCACUCUGAAAGAACUGCCAGUGAUAAGCUGGAGGAAGGUGGGGAUGACGUCAAGUCCUCAUGGCCCUUACGUGUUGGGCUACACACGUGCUACAAUGGCAUCUACAACAGGAAGCAAAACGGCAACGUUAAGCAAAUCCCGAAAAGAUGCCUCAGUUCGGAUUGCACUCUGCAACUCGGGUGCAUGAAGCUGGAAUUACUAGUAAUCGUGGAUCAGCGUGCCACGGUGAAUGCGUUCCCGGGUCUUGUACACACCGCCCGUCACACCAUGGGAGUUGGUUCUACCUUAAGGCAAGGUUUUAAACCCUUGACCACGGUAUAGUCAGCGACUGGGGUGAAGUCGUAACAAGGUAGCCGUAGGGGAACCUGCGGCUGGAUUACCUCCUUUCUAAGGAUGAGUGAAAGUAAAAUUUCACUCUAAAUAAUAUACAUCGGUAAUGUUGACCGUCCUCAUUUCUCUUCUUAAAGUAAUGUUUCCUUCUUGUAGGGCCGGUAGCUCAGUUGGUUAGAGCACACCCUUGAUAAGGGUGGGGUCGAAAGUUCGAGUCUUUCUCGGCCCACCAAUAACUCAAUGGGGGAUUAGCUCAUCUGGGAGAGCGCCUGAUUUGCAUACAGGAGGUAGCAGGUUCGAUCCCUGUAUCCUCCACCAGGAAACAUUUAGUUAUUAAAACUGUAAAUAAAAAUAAUUUAUAUCAAUAUCUAUAUCCGAACAUUAAAAGUUAUUAUUUAAUGUUCAAAAUAAAAAUUUGAUCACAACAUAAAUAAAUUUUCUAUAAAAAGAAUUUUUUUCUGUGCAUAAAUCAAGCGUUUAAGGGCGUGUAGUGGAUGCCUUGGCACUGAAAGCCGAUGAAGGACGUGAUAUACUGCGAUAAGUUUCGGGGAGCUGUAUGUAAGCUUUGAUCCGAAAAUUU
rnacentral:sRNA from 1 species